rnacentral:rRNA from 1 species
GAUUUCUGGUUCGGUGUAGCCGGCCCGCCACGGUUGCCGUCGGUGAGUGCCGGACUGCUGGCCGAGCCAUCCUUCUAGUCCUGCCGGCACGAGCUCUUCAUUGCAGUUCGUGCUAGUUGCAGCUAGAUCGUUUACUUUGAAAAAAUUAGAGUGUUUAAAGCAGGCAGUUGUCAGCUAUGAAUACAUUAGCAUGGAAUAAUAAGUUAGGACUUUGGUUCUAUUUUGUUGGUUUCUAUAACUGAAGUAAUGAUUGAUAGGGAUAGUUGGGGGUGCUAGUAUUGGCCGGCCAGAGGUGAAAUUCUUGGAUUCGGUCAAGACUAACUUAUGCGAAAGCAUU